GAGUGGCGGACGGGUGAGUAACACGUGGGUAACCUGCCCUUAAGUGGGGGAUAACAUUUGGAAACAGAUGCUAAUACCGCAUAGAUCCAAGAACCGCAUGGUUCUUGGCUGAAAGAUGGCGUAAGCUAUCGCUUUUGGAUGGACCCGCGGCGUAUUAGCUAGUUGGUGAGGUAAUGGCUCACCAAGGCGAUGAUACGUAGCCGAACUGAGAGGUUGAUCGGCCACAUUGGGACUGAGACACGGCCCAAACUCCUACGGGAGGCAGCAGUAGGGAAUCUUCCACAAUGGACGCAAGUCUGAUGGAGCAACGCCGCGUGAGUGAAGAAGGCUUUCGGGUGUAAAACUCUGUUGUUGGAGAAGAAUGGCGGCAGAGAGAGUAACUGUUGUCGGCGUGACGGUAUCCAACCAGAAAGCCACGGCUAACUACGUGCCAGCAGCCGCGGUAAUACGUAGGUGGCAAGCGUUAUCCGGAUUUAUUGGGCGUAAAGCGAGCGCAGGCGGUU
rnacentral:rRNA from 2 species